GACGAACGCUGGCGGCGUGCUUAACACAUGCAAGUCGAACGGUGAAGCGCCUUCCUUUUUGGUGGGUGUGGAUGAGUGGCGAACGGGUGAGUAACACGUGAGUAACCUGCCCCCUUCUUCUGGAUAACCGCAUGAAAGUGUGGCUAAUACGGGAUAUUCUGGGUCUGUCGCAUGAUGGGUCUGGGAAAGAUAUUGUUUCGGUGGGGGAUGGGCUCGCGGCCUAUCAGCUUGUUGGUGGGGUGAUGGCCUACCAAGGCGGUGACGGGUAGCCGGCCUGGGAGGGUGGACGGUCACACUGGGGCUGAGACACGGCCCAGACUGCUACGGGAGGCAGCAGUGGGGAAUAUUGCACAAUGGGCGCAAGCCUGAUGCAGCGACGCCGCGUGAGGGAUGGAGGCCUUCGGGUUGUGAACCUCUUUCGCCAGUGAAGCAGGCCUGCCUCGUUUGUGGGUGGGUUGACGGUAGCUGGAUAAGAAGCGCCGGCUAACUACGUG
rnacentral:rRNA from 1 species